UACGUAGGGGGCUAGCGUUGUCCGGAAUCAUUGGGCGUAAAGAGCGUGUAGGCGGCCCGGUAAGUCCGCUGUGAAAGUCGGGGGCUCAACCCUCGGAUGCCGGUGGAUACUGUCGGGCUCGAGUACGGAAGAGGCGAGUGGAAUUCCAGGUGUAGCGGUGAAAUGCGCAGAUAUCAGGAGGAACACCUAUUGCGAAGGCAGCUCGCUGGGACAUUACUGACGCUGAGACGCGAAAGCGUGGGGAGCAAACAGG
rnacentral:rRNA from 1 species